rnacentral:rRNA from 1 species
UACAGAGGGUGCGAGCGUUAAUCGGAAUUACUGGGCGUAAAGCGUGCGUAGGUGGUGAGUUAAGUCUGUCGUGAAAGCCCCGGGCUCAACCUGGGAAUGGCGAUGGAUACUGGCUCGCUAGAGUGCGGUAGAGGAGAGUGGAAUUCCCGGUGUAGCAGUGAAAUGCGUAGAGAUCGGGAGGAACAUCAGUGCGGAAGGCGGCUCUCUGGACCAGCACUGACACUGAGGCACGAAAGCGUGGGGAGCAAACAGG